GGUUAAGCGACUAAGCGUACACGGUGGAUGCCCUGGCAGUCAGAGGCGAUGAAGGACGUGCUAAUCUGCGAUAAGCGUCGGUAAGGUGAUAUGAACCGUUAUAACCGGCGAUUUCCGAAUGGGGAAACCCAGUGUGUUUCGACACACUAUCAUUAACUGAAUCCAUAGGUUAAUGAGGCGAACCGGGGGAACUGAAACAUCUAAGUACCCCGAGGAAAAGAAAUCAACCGAGAUUCCCCCAGUAGCGGCGAGCGAACGGGGAGGAGCCCAGAGCCUGAAUCAGUGUGUGUGUUAGUGGAAGCGUCUGGAAAGGCGCGCGAUACAGGGUGACAGCCCCGUACACAAAAAUGCACAUACUGUGAGCUCGAUGAGUAGGGCGGGACACGUGGUAUCCUGUCUGAAUAUGGGGGGACCAUCCUCCAAGGCUAAAUACUCCUGACUGACCGAUAGUGAACCAGUACCGUGAGGGAAAGGCGAAAAGAACCCCGGCGAGGGGAGUGAAAAAGAACCUGAAACCGUGUACGUACAAGCAGUGGGAGCACGCUUCGGCGUGUGACUGCGUACCUUUUGUAUAAUGGGUCAGCGACUUAUAUUCUGUAGCAAGGUUAACCGAAUAGGGGAGCCGAAGGGAAACCGAGUCUUAACUGGGCGUUAAGUUGCAGGGUAUAGACCCGAAACCCGGUGAUCUAGCCAUGGGCAGGUUGAAGGUUGGGUAACACUAACUGGAGGACCGAACCGACUAAUGUUGAAAAAUUAGCGGAUGACUUGUGGCUGGGGGUGAAAGGCCAAUCAAACCGGGAGAUAGCUGGUUCUCCCCGAAAGCUAUUUAGGUAGCGCCUCGUGAAUUCAUCUCCGGGGGUAGAGCACUGUUUCGGCAAGGGGGUCAUCCCGACUUACCAACCCGAUGCAAACUGCGAAUACCGGAGAAUGUUAUCACGGGAGACACACGGCGGGUGCUAACGUCCGUCGUGAAGAGGGAAACAACCCAGACCGCCAGCUAAGGUCCCAAAGUCAUGGUUAAGUGGGAAACGAUGUGGGAAGGCCCAGACAGCCAGGAUGUUGGCUUAGAAGCAGCCAUCAUUUAAAGAAAGCGUAAUAGCUCACUGGUCGAGUCGGCCUGCGCGGAAGAUGUAACGGGGCUAAACCAUGCACCGAAGCUGCGGCAGCGACGCUUAUGCGUUGUUGGGUAGGGGAGCGUUCUGUAAGCCUGCGAAGGUGUACUGUGAGGUAUGCUGGAGGUAUCAGAAGUGCGAAUGCUGACAUAAGUAACGAUAAAGCGGGUGAAAAGCCCGCUCGCCGGAAGACCAAGGGUUCCUGUCCAACGUUAAUCGGGGCAGGGUGAGUCGACCCCUAAGGCGAGGCCGAAAGGCGUAGUCGAUGGGAAACAGGUUAAUAUUCCUGUACUUGGUGUUACUGCGAAGGGGGGACGGAGAAGGCUAUGUUGGCCGGGCGACGGUUGUCCCGGUUUAAGCGUGUAGGCUGGUUUUCCAGGCAAAUCCGGAAAAUCAAGGCUGAGGCGUGAUGACGAGGCACUACGGUGCUGAAGUAACAAAUGCCCUGCUUCCAGGAAAAGCCUCUAAGCAUCAGGUAACAUCAAAUCGUACCCCAAACCGACACAGGUGGUCAGGUAGAGAAUACCAAGGCGCUUGAGAGAACUCGGGUGAAGGAACUAGGCAAAAUGGUGCCGUAACUUCGGGAGAAGGCACGCUGAUAUGUAGGUGAAGCGACUUGCUCGUGGAGCUGAAAUCAGUCGAAGAUACCAGCUGGCUGCAACUGUUUAUUAAAAACACAGCACUGUGCAAACACGAAAGUGGACGUAUACGGUGUGACGCCUGCCCGGUGCCGGAAGGUUAAUUGAUGGGGUUAGCGGUAACGCGAAGCUCUUGAUCGAAGCCCCGGUAAACGGCGGCCGUAACUAUAACGGUCCUAAGGUAGCGAAAUUCCUUGUCGGGUAAGUUCCGACCUGCACGAAUGGCGUAAUGAUGGCCAGGCUGUCUCCACCCGAGACUCAGUGAAAUUGAACUCGCUGUGAAGAUGCAGUGUACCCGCGGCAAGACGGAAAGACCCCGUGAACCUUUACUAUAGCUUGACACUGAACAUUGAGCCUUGAUGUGUAGGAUAGGUGGGAGGCUUUGAAGUGUGGACGCCAGUCUGCAUGGAGCCGACCUUGAAAUACCACCCUUUAAUGUUUGAUGUUCUAACGUUGGCCCCUAAUCGGGGUUGCGGACAGUGUCUGGUGGGUAGUUUGACUGGGGCGGUCUCCUCCUAAAGAGUAACGGAGGAGCACGAAGGUUGGCUAAUCCUGGUCGGACAUCAGGAGGUUAGUGCAAUGGCAUAAGCCAGCUUGACUGCGAGCGUGACGGCGCGAGCAGGUGCGAAAGCAGGUCAUAGUGAUCCGGUGGUUCUGAAUGGAAGGGCCAUCGCUCAACGGAUAAAAGGUACUCCGGGGAUAACAGGCUGAUACCGCCCAAGAGUUCAUAUCGACGGCGGUGUUUGGCACCUCGAUGUCGGCUCAUCACAUCCUGGGGCUGAAGUAGGUCCCAAGGGUAUGGCUGUUCGCCAUUUAAAGUGGUACGCGAGCUGGGUUUAGAACGUCGUGAGACAGUUCGGUCCCUAUCUGCCGUGGGCGCUGGAGAACUGAGGGGGGCUGCUCCUAGUACGAGAGGACCGGAGUGGACGCAUCACUGGUGUUCGGGUUGUCAUGCCAAUGGCACUGCCCGGUAGCUAAAUGCGGAAGAGAUAAGUGCUGAAAGCAUCUAAGCACGAAACUUGCCCCGAGAUGAGUUCUCCCUGACCCUUUAAGGGUCCUGAAGGAACGUUGAAGACAACGACGUUGAUAGGCCGGGUGUGUAAGCGCAGCGAUGCGUUGAGCUAACCGGUACUAAUGAACCGUGAGGCUUAACCUUACAACGCCGAAGAUGUUUUGGC
rnacentral:rRNA from 1 species